CAUUAGGGCCGAAGGAUCUCGCGAGGCCGCGGGGUCUGUGUUGCUUCCGGAGCGGCUUCUGUGUUUGAAGGUUGCGGACGUCCAGUUGCUGUUCGGAUUUUGUUGGCUUGCUUUUGAUUUUUGGUGUGUCACGUGUACUGGGACUCAGCUCUGAGGAAAAAGUAAAGCAAACCCGAGAAGUAAGCAUCCUUGAGACUAACCAGGAGAAGGAAGAAAAUUUGCAGGCACUCUUUAAAGGCAGGCUCCCCCUGCCAGUCAGACCGUAAGCGGGGGACGGGGGGAGGUUUAAACCUUUUUCUAUAAAGACAAAGGAAUGUUGAGCCAUUUCAGCCGAUCCGAAAUACACCAAGACUUGUUAAGGAAUCGUAGGAGUGAACAGCCACCCACUGGACACUAAAAUCUGGCGAUUUUAACGUCCUACAGAAGUCUGUCGACAAUUUCCUAUUUCCCGCCAAGCCAUUUCACCGUCUGGGUCCCAGUAGUUGGCCAUUGAAAAGCAUACUUUACUCUUCCUGAGAAUGCAGUGCUCUUAACGUGUUUGCAACCUCGGGGAAUAAUUCUGCAGUUUCUCAGAAGUGGUGAAUUUUCUGCAAGACAAAGGAGCUGAUAUUCUGCAACCUGCCUUCUAUGCACUUAGCCUUUUGUUAGUUAUGCCACCACCUUAAGGCACAUGGCCCCGCCUUCAAAAGACCCUCAUCUCCCUUAGUUUGGGAGAAGGAUUUGAGGCAACUUCUUCCAUUCUCCUGACAAGAUGUCUUUGUAUUAAAAAAUUCCUUUCUUGGGUGGCGCCUGUGGCUCAGCGGGUAGGGUGCCGGCCCCAUAUGCCGAGGGUGGCGGGUUCAAACCCAGCCCCAGCCAAACUGCAACAAAAAACUAGCUGGGCGUUGUGGCGGGUGCCAGUAGUCCCAGCUACUUGGGAGGCUGAGUCAAGAGAAUCGCUUAAGCCCAAGGAUUUGGAGGUUGCUGUGAGCUGUGUGAGGCAACGGCACUCUACCGAGGGCAAUAAGGUAGGACUCUGUCUCUACAAAAAAAAAAAAAAAAAAGAAAUAAAAAAAUUCCUUUCUUUCUUGACAGUUCUCAUUGUGUUAAUAAUUGGAUCUUCAUGGGAGAAGAAACUAGACCUAGACCUAAAGCCUCUUUGCAGUUUUGAAAAUGUGUAUAUAUAAAUAUAUACUAUUUAUCUUUAAUUAAAAUACAAUCGUGCUGAUUUGGUGAAUGACAGACCAUAUAUAAGAUAGUGGUCUCAUAAGAUUAUAAUACUUUAUUUUUACCAUACCUUUUCUAUGUUUAGAUAUGUUUAGAUACAAAAAUAUUUACCAUUUUCUUUACAAUUGCCUGCAGUGUUGAGCAACAUGCUGUACAGAUGCAUAGCCUAGGAGUAAUAUGCUAUACUGUCCAGGUUUAUAUGCUUGCUUAUUCUCUGUGACACUGCUUCAUGCACACUUCACGCAACAUCUUGGCAUAGUCAGCAGAACGUGCUUCGUGAGGACAGCACAGGCCCGCUUCCUCGGGAUUGCCUUCUUGUUCGAGUGGUUGUUAGCUUAUGGUAAGCUUGGAGAUACCAAACUUUGGGUUCCAGACAAAAAUUUGAAAUUUCAACAUAGCCCCCUGGACACAUGCCCCAGCUGCAGAGGAACAAGUAAUGUCCCACCUGAUGAGACUAAGACUGACAGCAUCCUGGGAGGGAGAGACGAUCAACUCUACCUCAGACAAAGGAAGCACCCCCGAUGACUUGGGGGCAGGCUUGGGCCGAGUUCAAACCCACCAGCCCCAGUGCAUGUGGCCAGCGCCCUAACCAUGAGCUAUGGGCACUCAGCCCAGGUAACCACAGACAUUCUUGCCUGAUGAAAUACUUUGAAAAUAUCACCUUGCUCUGGCAAUCUCUUCUUGUCUUAUAUUCUUUUUUUUUGAGCCAGUUUCACUGUCACCCUUGGUAGAGUGCUAUGGUCACAGCUCACAGCAACCUCAAACUCUUGGGCUUAAGUGAUACUCUUGCCUUAAUCUCCCAGGUAAGUAGCUGGGACUACAGGCACCUGCCAUAGUGCUCAGCUAUUUUUUUGUUGCAGUUGUCAUUGUUGGUUAGCAGGCCCAGGCCAGGUUUGAACCUGCCAGCCUCUGUGCAUGUGGCCAGCACCCUAAGCACUGAGCUAUGAGUGCUGAGCCUGUCUUAAAUUCUUUAAUAAACUUUGCUUUCUAACUCUGGUGGAGAACAGGUACAAGAUUAAGGAGUAAAAAACUAUGUGAAAUUGGUUUAUAAAGUGAAAAGGAUGUCCUAUCUUUUAAACAUACAAUACCAAGUGAAAAAUAAGGCUUUCCUUUAUUUAUUUUUUUUUUUUUGAGGCAGUCUUGCUCUGUCCCCCUUGUAGAGUGCUGUGACAUCCUAGCUUAUAGCAACCUCAAGCUCCAAGUAGCUGGGACAAAGGUGCCCACCUAUUUUUAGAGACUGGGUCUUGCUCUUGCUCAGGCUAGUCUCAAACUCCUGAGCUCAAGUGAUCCACUUGUCUCUGGCUCUCAGAGUGCUAUGAUUACAGCCAUAAGCCCCAUGGCUGCCCUUGAAAAUGAAAUUGUUGAUCUGUCUAUCUACAAUUUUUCCGCAAUAGCUACAUUAUCUCCUUCCUCUACUUCAUUUAGGUCUCUGCUCACAUGUCAUCUACUUAGAGAAACUGUUGUGGAUCAUUUUAUCUAAAACAGUAACCUUUCUUUAUCAAUGGAUUUCCUUCCCUAGUUUUUCUUUAAAAUACCUAGCACUAAUUGACAUGUUGUAGAGUAAGUCCUCACUUAAUGUUGUCAAUAGGUACUUGGAAAUGGUGACUCUAAGCAAAAUGAUGUACAACAAAACCAAUUUUACCAUAAAUUAAUUAAUAUAAAAAAGAGUUAAGUUCCUGUAGUGUAUUUCUGGUCACAAAACAUAACUAAAUAAGGACCAAAACCCUUGUAAUAUUAAACACUGAAAUAAAUGUAAGCUAUACCUACAUUUAAGAAAGAUAAAUAAAAGAGGAGUUUCACAGUUCAGGGUCUUGGGAGCCUCUCAUAACUCUGGCUGGUAUGCCACUUCCAUCACAGGCCAUGUUCCCACAUACACCUACACUCUGACAGGGACCAUGUCGACAUGCCAAUUGACCUACUGUGUACACCUUUGGGAUGUGAAAAGAAACGAGAAAACCCAUGCGGACAAGAGAAGAACAUGCAAAUUCUACAAUGGCCUUGGCUGGGACU